GUCUCUUUCAACCUGAUCUAUUUAUCCCUCACAUAUGCCAUUAGCUGUUUCUUGAAAGUGUGUGUGAGGAAAAAGGCUACUAUCUUGAUGUGUUCGUGUUCAACCAUUGUUUCCUUUUUUCUUCUUCCUCUUUUUGUGAUAUUGCUAUCACUACCUUGAUCCUUCGUGUGCUAGUAAAAGGGCAAUUGGAGUGGGUGUAGAGGCAACCGAAGUGGAAGUUGUAUUUCAGGUUUUUGAGCCUCAUUCGAUUGGUGAUUAUUUUUGGUUUAAAUUGAGCCCAAUUUUACAAGAUUGAAGUGUAUUUCACUUACGAUUGAGUGAAAUCUGUGAAAAAACUUAUGCAAAACCACUAAAAACUAGCCAUAAAUCGAUUAAAUAGAAGCAGGAUGAAAGUUGUUGAAGGAGUACAAAACUGAUGUAACUAUUUUGUGUUUUCCAGUCAAACCAGAGGCCGAUUGGAAAAACCAAAACCACGGUCGUGCUCAACAGGUCAAGGCACACCUAUCAAGUCGAUGCAAGACAAUUACACAUUAAACAUUUUUGGUGCAAUUGCUUGAAGAUAGUUUGUUCCUUGAUGCUUUAGUGUGAAUAAUGGUGGGUCUAAAGCAGUAAAGCAUAAGAUUCACAUCUCCCCUUAUUUACGGACCGACAAAUUGGUCCACUGGUAUCGUGUUCUUUCUCUAUUAUUAUUGCGGUUAAGGUUAUUGUAUGGGAUAGUUAUUUACUUUUCACAUUAGAAGUCAUCGUGUAGGGGUAACAUUAGGUUUAGGGUCACCAUAUGGGAGUCUUGUCUGUUACUUGUGGUCAUUGAUUGUUUGCAUUUUGUGUUUUGUGCACUUUUUAGUAAAAUGACAACACGUUUUGAGUUAAGUAUUUUUAAUAGCAAAAGUUAUUUUUCAUUUUGGCAACAAAAGUUGAAAGAUCGAAUUUACGGUAGAUCUAAAUCAGGAGUAAAAGGUAAAGAUGUUAUAACUGUCGUCAAAUCUAGACACUUAAUAAGAGAUUGCCCUAAUGAGAAUAAUAAGUAAAAAGAAGAGGCGGAGAGGUAAGGUAAAUGUUGCCCUCCAUCUAGUUAUGACAUGCGUGAUGUUUAUUGAUAAUAAAUAUGAUUACUACUUCCAUAUUUGUGUGAAAUCCCAUUUGCAUGAAUGAUUACUUGACUCGAUGCAUUAUUUUAUGUUACAUUUCUAGAUAGUUUAUAUGUAUUUUUUAUGAAUUUGAGAGUGAUCUUAUUACCGUGUGUAAUGUGUUUGCAUGCAUAGUAGUUGGGAUGCAUUAGCAAUAAGUACGUCUAUUGAUAAUAUAGAGUAUGGAUGCCUGAGGGUACAUUCGUGAUAUGUACGAAAAGUACGGAGAUGAUAUUUGGAUUACAAGUGGAAAUGUGAUUAUAUAUUUGGAAUCCUCUAUCUAUGAGAAUCCUGAUCGGGUGAAAACAAAUAAUCCACUUAGGUUGAAAGAGGUGAGAUAAUGAUACGGGAACAUCCCAUGGACUUAGGAUCUAUAGUGGUUUAUCAGUUAGAUAUGAGUAGUGAUUAGUCUAGUGAGCAUGAUUCGCGAUGAGAGGAGAUAUGUGUUUUUGAUAUGCGAGCUACAUAUAAUAGGGCAGGAUAAUUGUGGUGAGAUUUUUUCGUGGGAUUAUUUAUGCAUUUGUUGUAUAUGUUGUCCGUAUUGAUAGAUUAACUUGGAGUUAGUCUAAUGUUCUUUGCUUAGUGAACAUAUUUGAAAAUAUCUGUGUAUUAUCAUAUAUCAUAUCAUCAUCAAAUGUGUUUAUACACUCUUAAUUGAUUAAUGUGAUUAUCUGUUUCUGCUUGGAUUUCCUUGACAUUAGCGCUUGUGGGUAUAUAGAGUAGGUAUAUUAUGUGUUUUAGGUUCUAGAAAUGAGGUAACGUUUAUUAGAUAUCAAUGUGGAGAUUUGUUGAAUUUUGAUAUCCGAUAGAUUUGAACAACGAUAUUAAAACGUUGUUGGGAUAAUUAUAUCAACACCAUAGUGAUUAGCUCGACCCAAAAAUAAAUUGGGCCAUUGAAAGCAGCAUAAUUAAUUAAGGUUUUUCAUGGCCCAAAUUCACUUGAGGAUGACCCAUUUCUGUUGGCCCAAUUGUGCUUAGGUUUGGUUAUGGUAUGUUGGCUUUUAUCCUUGAUUUGUUGGUCCAUUUAGGCCUUAUCUUGGCAAUUUUGCUUGUGGCUCAUUUAUGAAGGUUUGGCCCAUGUUUCUUUAAACGUAAUCUAUUUAUCCCUCACAUAUGCCAUUUAGCCAUUUUCUCAUGUGCGCGCGCAAUAGAUUGUGAGAGAACCGUCUUGGUGUGUUUGUAUUUAUCCGUUGCUUCAUUUUUUUUUUCUUCUUCCUCCCUUUGUGAUAUUGCUAUCACCACCUUGAUCCUUUGAAGGUUAGUACGAGGACAAUUGGAGAAGGUGUAAAAGCAACUGAAGUGGAAGUUGUGUUUCUGGUUUUCGAGCCUCAUUCGAUUGGUGAUUAUUGUUGGUUUAAAUUGAGUCCGAUUUUCACAAGAUUGAAGUGUAUUCCGCUUACAAUUUUCUUGCAUAAUAAAAUUUUAUGGUCUCAACUUGAGUAAUUGGGAUGAAUAAAUAAAGAGAUAAAUACAAUUAAUAAAAUUUUAUGUGUCUACUUGAUGAGAUUGUUAGAAUAUAAUUAAUACUUAGUUCCCUA
rnacentral:lncRNA from 1 species